rnacentral:rRNA from 1 species
CAGUCGCCGCGGGAAUACAGAGGGUGCGAGCGUUAAUCGGAUUUACUGGGCGUAAAGCGUGCGUAGGCGGCUAAUUGAGUCGGAUGUGAAAUCCCCGAGCUUAACUUGGGAAUUGCAUUCGAUACUGGUUAGCUAGAGUGUGGGAGAGGAUGGUAGAAUUCCAGGUGUAGCGGUGAAAUGCGUAGAGAUCUGGAGGAAUACCGAUGGCGAAGGCAGCCAUCUGGCCUAACACUGACGCUGAGGUAUGAAAGCAUGGGGAGCAAACAGGAUUAGAUACCCCCGUAGUCCCUGUCUCUUAUAC